AUUCAAGUGGCGUGGUGGGCUGAAGGGAUUUUAGGGAAAUGACACCGUUUGAUUCUAUGUCCUAAUAACUUAGCCAAAGUUUAAGACAUCUUCUUCCUCUCUUUUUGUCCUCCUCACAUCACCGAGAAUGUCCUCCUUAUGUAUCAAGCUUGCACUACCAAAUCCAUCCAUGAACCAAUUAGUGCGAACACUUUGAAUUUGGGCAACUUUAUCGAGCAUGCACCACCAACAUCCCUAAUUCGGCUGUUGCACUGCCUUGGUGGCAAGAAAUUAGAAAUUAGGGCUUCAAAAUUUAGGUGAAAGCUGGAGUUUAGAGCUUGAAGCUUGGGAAAAAUGAGAAGUUAGGGAUUGAAGGCAUAGUUUGAGAGAACUGCUCUAGAAGUUGUGAGAUUGUUGGCACAAAAUACCAAAGAAGUUGGAUUUGAGUUUCUUAAGUACGUGAAAGAGCAGAAACUGGUAGAAUUAGUAGGCUUGUUGUUGGUGGCUCGUGAAAAGGUUAUGCCUCGUUUAGAGGGACGUAUAAAGAUCCACAAUUUUGUCUUGAAAGAAGCCGUGUUUCUGAAUUUACAAGAAAUUAGGUCCUUGUAUGGCUCCGGUGAUGAGAAGUCCCUACGAGAGGUAAAAAAGAAGAAGGUGGAGAUGGAUUCAAUACUAUUAUUACUCAAAGUAUUUGACAGAAUUGGUGAUAAACUUUCGGCUUAUCUUCAGAUAGUGUGAAAAUAGGUAUUGACUACUUGUUUUACCUCUUCAAGGAUUGAGGUGGUCACUAGUUUAAACUAAAUCCUAAUAGUUAAACUAGAGAAGCAUACAAUGUAAGCCUCGAGUUUCUCUUCUUUGGUUGUGUUGUCGUUAUUAUAUUGUUCAACAAAUUUGGUGUUAUGUUCUACUUUUUGAAUUUUGGAUGUGAGAUUC